AGCACUCAAUCGAUGUCUGAACGUGUAUAUGCCGCUAUCAAAGAUGGCGUCACUUCUACGGUGUCUGUGUGAACGAUUCUAGUUGCCGCUGAAAAAAUUAAUAUUUCUCGCAUAAAAUUCAACUACCGGCCGCCUUACCCAAUCGAAAAGCGUUAAUACAUAAUUCCGGUGUGAUUUACAAUUGAAAUUGUGCCUGUGCGUGCGCCAGUCGCUGUUAAAUCCCAACGCAAAGGAUUGUGUGUGUGCAUCUAGAGAAUUUCGAGUGCUCCCAAAACCAACGAUAGUUAAAUAACUGCUAACAAGAAGAGAGUACACUGCGCUACGCCAUUAUCUACCGUGACGUCGUAUGCCAAUUAGUGGGAAAAGCGAGACAGUGCAUGUGAUGCCAAAUCAAAAGGAAGACACAUAAAAUAUAACCAAGCAGCAGCAAAAGCCAAGAGCGCAAAAGGCCAGAGUCCGCAGAGAGAGAGAGACAGAGGAAUAUGUGAAGGAUUCAAACCAUUAAUCGAUGUGCCAUUCAGGAGCAGAAGCAGAAGCAGCAAAACCUAGAAGCUAAGCCGAGACGCGAGAGUAUUAACCACAAGAGAAGGCGCAACAGUGCAACAAUCCCUCCAGCAACAAAGAACCUGAAAGCAGCAGCAGACAGCAGCAGAAGUGGCAGCAAACAGAACGUAAAUCUAGAAACAGUGUAAAUACAACUGUAACGAAUUUAAAGCAAAAAA
rnacentral:sRNA from 15 species